rnacentral:lncRNA from 1 species
UCCCUGACUCAGUCCCGCCCCCUUGACCCCCGCCGCCCAAUCACCGCGCGCCUCCGCGCCCAGAGCCAGCGAGACCCCGCGAGAUUCCCUCACCUCACACAACCCUCACCUCGGGUGGCCCCGCCUUCCUCACCUCUCCUGCCAAUCACGCGGUGCCGCUCCAGCGUACUGGCCAAUUGACUCUCCCCUUGAGCCGAGUCCCGCCCCCAAGACCUUCUUUUUGCCCAAUCGCAGCCGCCUCUCCGAUCCAAUUAGCCAAUGAGGAGAAACGAAAGCCCGAAAAGGGGUUACUGGGCCAAUAGUACUCGGAGGCGAGGCGGUGCCGUGAUUGACAGCUCUCCUCACCAGUGAGGAGCGGCGAGGCGCGUUAAAGGAGUCCUCCUUCAAACCGCAGUGCGAGGUGCCGGGUGACGGGCGCGGAAGUCGCCGGUUCCCCCCCCGCCGCAGGUGGGCAGCCGGCCAAUGGAAGGCGGGGAGCCGGGUGAUGGGCGGCGCGAGCGGCCAAUGGCGCUGCCGGGGCGGGGUCUCUCUUGCUUACUGUUGGACUUCGACAGACAUAAUCUGUGAAGAUAAUCGAAGUUCCUUUGCUCUGAGUGCUGUAAGUGAUUUUUUUGUUUGUUUUAUGGAAAUUGUUAGGAGCCUAUUUGCUCCUGACAAACACAGGGGAAAAAGGUGAAAAUGCCAAAUCACAGACAAUUGGUUGAAAUGAAGCUGGUGCAGAUUUGUUAUAUGACUGUACGUGUUUGCAGGAGAUAUUUCUUAACAGCAUUUUGUAUUCAGGAACACCCCUGUCUCCAUUCCAGCCAUGCUGAGAAAUGCAGUAGCAGAACCCUAAUUGCAAAUUGCCAGUAAAGAUACCC